CCAAAGGGGUUAAAUGGACUUACUGGCCGGACAGGCAUGAAAGGAAGCCCAGGCUGUGCAGGACCUCAGGGUUCUCCUGGGUCAGUGGAAGCCAAGGGCAGCACUGGAAGGCCUGGACUUUGGGGGAGAAAGGGAGAACCUGGAAUUCUUGGACCCCCAGGGCCAUUGGGGCCAGCUGAGCAGUGAGGAAAACAGGGAGAUUACGGCAUUCCAGGCUACAGUCAUACGGGACGAAAAGGAGUGAAGAGUCCAAGAGGAUUCCUUGGAGGUAUGGGGCAAAAGGUAUUGUGCACAUGACCUUCU